AUUGAACGCUGGCGGCAUGCUUUACACAUGCAAGUCGGACGGCAGCGGGGUAGUGCUUGCACUACUGCCGGCGAGUGGCGAACGGGCGAGUAAUAUAUUGGAACGUACCGAGUAAUGGGGGAUAACCAAUCGAAAGAUUGGCUAAUACCGCAUACGCUCUGAGGAGGAAAGCAGGGGACCUUCGGGCCUUGCGUUAUUCGAGCGGCCAAUAUCUGAUUAGCUAGUUGGUGGGGUAAGGGCCUACCAAGGCGACGAUCAGUAGCGGGUCUGAGAGGAUGAUCCGCCACACUGGGACUGAGACACGGCCCAGACUCCUACGGGAGGCAGCAGUGGGGAAUUUUGGACAAUGGGCGCAAGCCUGAUCCAGCCAUGCCGCGUGUCUGAAGAAGGCCUUCGGGUUGUAAAGGACUUUUGUUAGGGAAGAAAAAGGAGCGGUUAAUACCCGUUUCUGCUGACGGUACCUAAAGAAUAAGCACCGGCUAACUACGUG
rnacentral:rRNA from 1 species